UACAGAGGGUGCGAGCGUUAAUCGGAAUUACUGGGCGUAAAGCGCGCGUAGGCGGCUUUGCAAGCCGGAUGUGAAAUCCCCGGGCUUAACCUGGGAACUGCAUUCGGGACUGCAUUGCUAGAGUAUGGGAGAGGGAAGUGGAAUUUCAGGUGUAGCGGUGAAAUGCGUAGAUAUCUGAAGGAACAUCAGUGGCGAAGGCAGCUCGCUGGGACGGUACUGACGCUGAGGCGCGAAAGCGUGGGGAGCAAACAGG
rnacentral:rRNA from 1 species